CUAUGAUUGCAAUAGUAAAUAGUUUCUGGAUUAGAGACUUUACAGUAACCACAAUUUACAUGAUGACACUCUAUAUCACCAAGAUCUAUGAAUGCCGUGAUUUUUUCUAUUUGCUAUCUGAUUUCUACCAUUUCUAGACACCUAUGAAAUUGUAUCGUGCAACUUGUUUAAGUCCAGUUUUUUAAUUGCAGGCUUUACGGACCAAACUUUUUCAUAUGGGUGUUGCCUAAGUUUGUUGGAUUACUGACUCAGGAAGAACAUCAUGAAUGAAAGCUGUACAGGAUGCACAGUUUCAUAUCAAUAUUCGUCAUUAGUUAAUUUCGUUGGAUCACUGGCUAAGCAGAAGGAACAUCAUUUAAUAUGAAACUGUGAUUUCAACAUUUUAUGAAACACUGCUGUCGGAUCGGUAUUUGAACCACGAGUAAAGACAGUGAGUUAUUGUUAGUAGUGAAAUUUAUAAGUAGCUGAAACUUCAAGAAUGUAAACCUUGCAGCUGUUAACCUCUAGACGGCCGGCAACACCACUAUAGUUUUGUAAAGUUUCUGUUGAAGAAACUGGUCCGUUUCGAAGUUCUGAAACACGUUUUUUAAAUUUUGUACUUUGAACAAAGUCGCGACGAAAUGAAGAGUGUCAUUAGAGAUUUUGCUAUAAUUUUGGAAAUAAAAUUUACGAACUUU